AGCGAACGCUGGCGGCAGGCUUAACACAUGCAAGUCGAGCGGGCAUCCUUGUGGUGUCAGCGGCAGACGGGUGAGUAACGCGUGGGAACGUGCCCUUCGGUUCGGAAUAACUCAGGGAAACUUGAGCUAAUACCGGAUACGUGCGAGAGCAGAAAGGUUUAUCUGCCGAAGGAUCGGCCCGCGUCUGAUUAGCUAGUUGGUGAGGUUACGGCUCACCAAGGCGACGAUCAGUAGCUGGUCUGAGAGGAUGAUCAGCCACACUGGGACUGAGACACGGCCCAGACUCCUACGGGAGGCAGCAGUGGGGAAUAGUGGAAAAUGGGGGCAACCCUGAUCCAGCCAUGCCGCGUGAGUGAUGACGGCCUUAGGGUUGUAAAGCUCUUUUCUCCGGGACGAUAAUGACGGUACCGGAGGAAUAAGCCCCGGCUAACUUCGUG
rnacentral:rRNA from 1 species